GUGAUCCUUCUGGAGUCUUGGAGGCCAUUGGUGGGAACUAAGCAGAGCAAAGCUUUGAUCUUUGAUUUAGUUUUUUAGAAACCAAUUGUUUCCUCCUUGGCUCUAGCCUCUAGUGAUCAAUAUUGCCAUCAAAGAGUUUACCUUAGAGUUGAGCGAUUGAAGAGAUCACGAGAUACACCGUUUCUACGGAAGGAUUAAGCAAGGGCAGAGGGAGAGAAACAGUCACUGUUCAUGUGACGCUGUAGAGUGAGAUAGAUAGAGAGAGAGAGAGA